rnacentral:misc_RNA from 1 species
GAUGAAGAACGUAGCGAAAUGCGAUAAGUAAUGUGAAUUGCAGAAUUCAGUGAAUCAUCGAAUCUUUGAACGCACAUUGCGCCCGCCAGUAUUCUGGCGGGCAUGCCUGUUCGAGCGUCAUUUCAACCACUCAGGCCCUGGUGCCUGGCGUCGGGGUUUCUUGCUUCGGUAAAAUCCCCUAGAAUCAGUGGCGGACCCGCCGCGGCUCCGAGCGUAGUAGUAAAAUAUCUCGCUAUGGAGGCCCGUGGGGGGAUUACCGGCCGUAAAACCUCUUCUUUACUGAAGAACUUCUCAAGGUUGACCUCGGAUCAGGUAGGAAUACCCGCUGAACUUAAGCAUAUCAAUAAGCGGAGGA